UUGCGACGCGAAAGCUAGCCAGAUGAUUGUCCCACUAGCCCAACAAGCUAGAACGGGACCGGUUGUUCCCCCAACCGUAGCCUAGGGAGGCAUGCGUGACUGGUAACGGUCAGGUGUGAAGCCCUCCCGACAAUGUAGCCCGAACCGCAAGGUUGAAGCUGAAUCCGUGAGGAGGAAGCAACUUCACCAGUGUCAGGUGAUAGGGAACUAGGCUUGAGGGUAUGGUGAGCACAUGCGAAGUGAUGUCAGAAGCCUCGUCACAGACCAACAGGCCAAAGACACUGAUAGGCCUGAGCCAAAACGGCAAAUGGAUAGGCUACAUCGCUCGCUCGUCGGUGUACGGGGACGUCAAUCCAUCGGGGCACAGUCACCACCUAACCCCUCGUGUCAUCUGGUUGGAACGCGGUAAGCCCGUAUCCUCGCCUUGAACACUCAAGGCAGGCAAACCGUAAGGAAUGCUGAUGGGGGUGCGGGUAUGGGAUGCAGGAGAAAGCGAAUGCCGGUCUGUAAUGGACCGGAUAGGGGUUGAGGAGACAAUCCAACAUCACCCCGCCCGAAAGGGAGCAGACUUCCUGCUGGUCUCUCUUUGCGAGAUAGCCUGUAGAACCUCUUGAAUGGAGACAAGGCAAAUGGCAGUGGAACAAACCACUGGUGCGGUCACCAACCAAACGGAAACAAGCUGGCACAGCAUAGACUGGGCCAAAGCCAACCGUGAGGUAAAGAGGCUGCAAGUGCGUAUCGCAAAGGCGUUCGCGCCGGUUCCUCUUGAAAGAGGGGCUUUGAGAGGCCUGAGCCGGAUGUGGGGAAACUCACAAGUCCGGUUCUUAGGGGGCGGGGAUGGCAGUAAUGCCUCCCUGCUACCCGGC
rnacentral:ncRNA from 1 species